AACCUGCGGAGGGAUCAUUACACAAUACAAUAUGAAGGCUGUCCGCAGCUGGAGUAUUUUAUUACCCUUGUCUUUUGCGCACUUGUUGUUUCCUGGGCGGGUUCGCUCGCCACCAGGACCACCAAAUAAACCUUUUUUAUGCAGUUGCAAUCAGCGUCAGUACAAACAAUGUAAAUCAUUUACAACUUUCAACAACGGAUCUCUUGGUUCUGGCAUCGAUGAAGAACGCAGCGAAAUGCGAUACGUAGUGUGAAUUGCAGAAUUCAGUGAAUCAUCGAAUCUUUGAACGCACAUUGCGCCCUUUGGUAUUCCAAAGGGCAUGCCUGUUCGAGCGUCAUUUGUACCCUCAAGCUUUGCUUGGUGUUGGGCGUUUUUGUCUUUGGUCGCCCAAAGACUCGCCUUAAAGUGAUUGGCAGCCGGCCUUUCUGGUUUCGCAGCGCAGCACAUUUUUGCGCUUGCCAUCAGCAAAACGGCAAUCCAUCAAGCCUCCUUCUCACGUUUGACCUCGGAUCAGGUAGGGAUACCCGCUGAACUUAAGCAUAUCAAA
rnacentral:rRNA from 1 species